rnacentral:rRNA from 1 species
UACGGGAGGCAGCAGUGAGGAAUCUUGCGCAAUGGAGGAAACUCUGACGCAGCCACGCCGCGUGCCGGAAGACGGCCCUAUGGGUUGUAAACGGCUUUUGAAUGGGAAGAACGUACGAGAUUCGUCUUGUAGUGACGGUACCAUUUGAAUAAGCACCGGCUAACUCCGUGCCAGCAGCCGCGGUAAUACGGAGGGUGCAAGCGUUGUCCGGAAUCAUUGGGUGUAAAGGGUGCGUAGGUGGGAGCCUAAGUCUGUGGUGAAAUCUUGCCGCUUAACGGUAAAAUUGCCAUGGAUACUGGGUUUCUUGAGUACAGAAGAGGUCGGUGGAAUUCGUAGUGUAGCGGUGAAAUGCAUAGAUAUUACGAAGAACAUCAGUGGCGAAGGCGGCCGGCUGGACUGUAACUGACACUGAGGCACGAAAGCGUGGGGAGCGAACAGGAUUAGAUACCCUGGUAGUCCACGCUGUAAACGAUGCAUACUAGUUGUUGGCCCUUUGGGGCCAGUGAUGCAGUUAACGCAGUAAGUAUGCCACCUGGGGAGUACGUCGGCAACGAUGAAACUCAAAGGAAUUGACGGGGGCCCGCACAAGCGGUGGAGCAUGUGGCUUAAUUCGAUGCAACGCGAGGAACCUUACCUGGGCUAAAUCUACAGUGUUACCUCCCGAAAAGGAGGGUCCCUUCGGGGCACUAUGGAAGGUGCUGCAUGGCUGUCGUCAGCUCGUGCCGUGAGGUGUUGGGUUAAGUCCCGCAACGAGCGCAACCCCUGUGGUUAGUUACCAGCACGUAAUGGUGGGGACUCUAGCCAGACUGCCUACGCAAGUAGUGAGGAAGGUGGGGACGACGUCAAGUCAUCAUGGCCCUUACGUCCAGGGCUGCACACGUGCUACAAUGGAUGGUACAAUGGGUAGCCACUGCGCGAGCAGGAGCAAAUCCACAAAGCCAUUCUCAGUUCGGAUUGGAGUCUGCAACUCGACUCCAUGAAGGUGGAAUCGCUAGUAAUCGCGUAUCAGCAAUGACGCGGUGAAUACGUUCCCGGGCCUUGUACACACCGCCCGUCAAGCGAUGGAAGUUAGGAGUACCUGAUGUCGCCUCAACAAGAGGUGCCUAGGGUAAGCCUAGUAACUGGCGCUAAGUCGUAACAAGGUAGCCGUACCGGAAGGUGCGGCUGGAUCACCUCCUUUC